rnacentral:rRNA from 1 species
GACGGAGGGGGCUAGCGUUGUUCGGAAUGACUGGGCGUAAAGGGCGCGUAGGCGGUUUUUUAAGUGAGGCGUGAAAGCCCUGGGCUUAACCUAGGAGGUGCGUUUCAUACUGGAAGACUUGAGUACGAGAGAGGAAAGUGGAAUUCCUAGUGUAGAGGUGAAAUUCGUAGAUAUUAGGAAGAACACCAGUGGCGAAGGCGACUUUCUGGCUCGUAACUGACGCUGAGGCGCGAAAGCGUGGGGAGCAAACAG